UACGUAGGGUGCAAGCGUUGUCCGGAAUUAUUGGGCGUAAAGAGCUCGUAGGCGGUUUGUCGCGUCUGCUGUGAAAACUCGGGGCUUAACCCCGGGCCUGCAGUGGGUACGGGCAGACUAGAGUGCGGGAGAGGAGAGUGGAAUUCCUGGUGUAGCGGUGAAAUGCGUAGAUAUCAGGAGGAACACCGGUGGUGUAGACGGCUCUCUGGACCGUAACUGACGCUGAGGCACGAAAGCGUGGGUAGCAAACGGG
rnacentral:rRNA from 1 species